rnacentral:rRNA from 1 species
CAAUAGCGUAUAUUUAAGUUGUUGCAGUUAAAAAGCUCGUAGUCGGAUUUUGGCUGAGAACGAUCGGUCCGCCGUUAAGUGUGCACUGAUUGGUCUCAGCUUCCUGGUGAGGAGGUGUGCUUCACGGCCACUUAGUCACCGUGGUUACUUUGAAAAAAUUAGAGUGUUCAAAGCGGGCUUACGCUUGAAUAUAUUAGCAUGGAAUAACACCAUAGGACUCCUGUCCUAUUUCGUUGGUCUCGGGACGGGAGUAAUGAUUAAGAGGAACAGUUGGGGGCAUUCGUAUUUCAUUGUCAGAGGUGAAAUUCUUGGAUUUAUGAAAGACGAACUUCUGCGAAAGCAUUUGCCAAGGAUGUUUUCAUUGA